AGCUUGUUUAAUACUGUUAACUUUCCUACCUUCAGAGUUUCGUGAUUAGAUUGUGUUUCUAUGGAUGAAUGCUAAACUUAGCUAGUUUCUAACUUUUGCCUUUACACUUUAGCUAAUGUUGACUAAUAUUAGCUAGCUAAAGCUAACAUUUCUUUUACUUAAAUGAGCUAUCUGAUGUUAGCUAGCUGAUAGCUCACUCAAUCAUUUCUAAUAUUGGCUUGGCAUUUCAUUACCGCUGUAAAAUGUCAUAUUUGAUCUUUUUACAAUAAGCACACCAUUUGUUUUCACACUGGAAUUUGGGAAUUUUAACUGGCUAGUCAACAUGAGCAAGAGGAGAGGAGAUAUUCCACACUUUUUUGGUGCCAAAAAAAGAAGACAUGGACACGAGAAGAAGGUGUGGUGCAACCCCCGUUAAGCGAUUAUCCAGCUCUACCUUUGAUUUUCUUCACUAUACAAGCUGUAAAGAACGGAAGAUUGAAUCGUUUUGGAUAGACUGCGAAGAUCACAAAUGCCUUCAAUGAUGCACCUCUGGGAAAUAGUCACAGAUGGGGCUAGCAGUUAUUCAGAUGAAUCAGCAGCACUGCAAACAAGCUAAGCAGCUAGUGAAAGGUUGGAGGUACAAUAUUUGGCCGGGGAGGGGCAGAGAGCUCUUGCUGCCCAGGCAGGCCUGACGCCUCAACCAGGCUUUUACAGUAGGAAGGAGUGAAGCACACAGAGGUUUACCGCCAUGCUGGGAUCACCAGUUUAAUGGAGGCUCGCCCUAUCCCACAUUCAAACCCUGCAUCUCUUGGCUCCCUUCCGGCAGCUGGAGUAUACUGGGGAGCGUUCCCAUGGAAAAGCUGUUAAACUGGCCACAGUAGUGAGGAUGAGGAACAAGUUUCCAUCAUGUUCUAACUAGCUACAAAGAGAUUCACAUAUUGCACUGCCAUAUAGACUUCUCUUCUGUAAGAUAGUUCUAGUAGGCUAAUUGUGAUGUAGUAAGUUUUAGUUGGCAGUUGGAGAUUUUGUCUGCUUUUUUUCUGUCCUUUUCCAGUCUAGUGGCUACAGGUGUGUACAUGACCAGGUCUAUUUCCUCCUGAACUGACCUAUGAGGGGUCUGAGUGAGCUUGUUUUUGCAUCGUCUCCAUGUUGCUAUGCAGACUGACUUUUCCAUUGGCUGGGUUUUACCAGUCAUCCUUAAAGACAAGCCUGGUCCUGAUUGUUCCGGAUCGUACGGCGGAAUCAAAUUAGGGACUGGUAAUGGCCAUAAAGUCCAUGUCUGAGGCAUUAUACUCAAGGGCGUGGGCCCACCUCACAUUUCCCAUCCGCAUUUCCUUUCGUCCUCGUUUCUGAGUGGGACUGUCAGCUUUUUUUCAUUACCAGCUAAUCUGGAGGAUUUGUAACUAAAACAACAAACAGAUAAAAACGCACAAAUCAAUGGGAGAGAGUGAUGUUCCACCAAUCAACUGUAUGUUCAUAAUUGGCCAACUCAUACAUCAUGCUUGUUCUUCUAUGAAUGGGCCCCAUGCUUUGCAGUUGUUUAUAAAAUUCGAGGUGGAUA